CGUAGGGGCGAGCGUUGCCCGGAUUCACUGGGCGUAAAGCGCGUGUAGGCGGUCUGUUAAGUCGGAUGUGAAAUCUCCGGGCUCAACUCGGAAACUGCAUCCGAUACUGGCAGACUUGAGGAUGGUAGAGGUCGGUGGAACAGCGAGUGUACCGGUGAAAUGGGCAGAUAUUCGCUAGAACACCAGUGGCGAAGGCGGCCGACUGGGCCAAUCCUGACGCUGAGACGCGAAAGCCAGGGUAGCGAACCGGAUUAGAUACCCGGGUAGUCCUGGCCGUAAACGGUGCGAACUAGGUGUGGGGGGCGUCAAGCCUUCUGUGCCGAAGCUAACGCAUUAAGUUCGCCGCCUGGGGAGUACGGCCGCAAGGCUA
rnacentral:rRNA from 1 species